rnacentral:tRNA from 1 species
UGGGGUAUAGCUCAGUGGUAGAGUGCAUGCUUGGUGUGCUCGAGGUCCUGUGUUCAAUCCCCAGUGCCUCCA